CAGAGUUGCAAGACUCCCUAAACCAUUGUGAACCUACCUUCUACCGUUGCUUCGGCGGGCGGGCCCAGCGCCCCCCCCGGCCCCCCGCGGGCGCCCGCCGGAGGAUACCCAAACUCUUGACAUUAGUGGCCUCUCCUGAGUAUUCUUUACUGAAUAAGUCA
rnacentral:misc_RNA from 1 species